rnacentral:rRNA from 1 species
GGACGCCUACGGGACGCAGCAGUGGGGAAUAUUGGGCAAUGGGCGCAAGCCUGACCCAGCAACGCCGCGUGAAGGAAGAAGGCGUUCGGGUUGUAAACUUCUUUUAAGAGAGAAGAGCAGAAGACGGUGCCUCUUGAAUAAGCCACGGCUAACUACGUGCCAGCAGCCGCGGUAAUACGUAGGUGGCAAGCGUUGUCCGGAUUUACUGGGUGUAAAGGGCGUGCAGCCGGGAAGACAAGUCAGAUGUGAAAUCCCGCGGCUCAACCGCGGAACUGCAUUUGAAACUGUUUUUCUUGAGUACCGGA